AUUGAACGCUGGCGGCAGGCCUAACACAUGCAAGUCGAACGAGUGGCAGACGGGGGAGUAAUGUCUGGGAAACUGCCUGAUGGUGGGGGAUAACUACUGGAAACGGUAGCUAAUACCGCAUACCAUCGGAUGUGCCCAGAUGGGAUUAGCUAGUAGGUGGGGUAACGGCUCACCUAGGCGACCAUCCCUAGCUGGUCUGAGAGGAUGACCAGUCACAUUAGAACUUAGCCACGGUUGAGACACAUACGGGAGGCAGCAGUGGGGAAUAGUGCAAAGUGGGCUCAAGCCUGAGGCAGCCAUGCGGCGUGUAUGAAGAAGGCCUUCGGGUUGUAAAGUACUUUCAGCGGGGAGGAGUUACCCGCAGAAGAAGCACCGGCUAACUCCGUGCCAGCAGCCGCGGUAAUAC
rnacentral:rRNA from 1 species